AGUAACGCGUGGAAACCUACCAUUCUGUACGGAAUAACGAUUGGAAACGAUCGCUAAUACCGUAUACGCCCUGUGGGGGAAAGGUCCGCCGCAGAAUGAAGGGUCCGCGUCCGAUUAGCUUGUUGGUGGGGUAAAAGCCUACCAAGGCGAUGAUCGGUAGCUGGUCUGAGAGGAUGAUCAGCCACACUGGGACUGAGACACGGCCCAGACUCCUACGGGAGGCAGCAGUGGGGAAUAUUGGACAAUGGGGGCAACCCUGAUCCAGCAAUGCCGCGUGUGUGAAGAAGGCCUUAGGGUUGUAAAGCACUUUCAAUGGUGAAGAUGAUGACGGUAGCCGUAGAAGAAGCCCCGGCUAACUUCGUGCCAGCAGCCGCGGUAAUACGAAGGGGGCGAGCGUUGUUCGGAAUUACUGGGCGUAAAGGGCGCGCAGGCGGCCAAUCCAGUCAGGUGUGAAAGCCCCGGGCUUAACCUGGGAACUGCACUUGAUACUGAUUGGCUAGAAAACGGAAGAAGGGAG
rnacentral:rRNA from 1 species